GAGGCGGCUGAGCAGCAAGUACCAGCUUUCUUGCUCCGACUCGUUCUCGGCCACCAUAGCGAAGUACUCGUCCUGCGUGAAAAGGGCAAUGAGGUGUCGGUACCUUGCAUCAGCUCGCUGGCUCACGGAGAAGCACUGGUAGCCGCGUUUGCAGACUUCGUCCCCGACGGGGAGGUCCUCCUCUUCAGACUCGGAGUCUGACCGGGAGCCAGUGGCCGUGGAGAGCCACAUGGCUCCCGGACAAGACGACCCGGUCCCAAUGAGUGCGGUCGGGGUUCCCGAAGAAAGAAGCGGGGUGGUGGUCACCGCUGCUAGAGCUGCCGCUGCUGCCGCUGCUGCAGCUCUCAGUCUCCUUGUCGCUUGGUCGCGAGCGAAGGAGCUACUCGCCAUGGUGAUGCACGAUGGUUUUAAGUCUGGUCCAUUUCCUCCUGCUGCACGCGGCCGGCCCUACUCCUCAGGAGAAAGUGUCCACAACCCCUGAAAACGUGUCAGCCACCAGGGCGCUCAGCCCUGCCGCCCACCGUGCUGCAGGAGCUCCAGAGUCUGCUCCAUCCCUGACAUGAAUAGGACACUCGAAUAGCAGCGAUGCCUUCAAAAUGAACACAAUCUUUAAACAGAGCGCAUUUCUAGUCCACGAAAUACAGGUUCGUUAGAGAUGGUGUUGCUGUUUAUUUAAUAAUGACUAUGAAAGCACAAAUUUGGGGGCCUGCGAAGUAUACAGCCAUGUUGAAAAAAAUCAGACUGGAUUCUUAAUACGCAAGUGUUGAGCUGUCUUGAUUUUUUUUUUUGUGUGUGUGUGGGGGAUGCUUUGAAAGAUGCCUUUAAAAGAAUCUCAAAAUAUUAAGUUUCUCUUUCUUCGAAUGAGACCAAAAAACUUUAGAAAAAGAAAGCUCGUCCCUAGAACAAAGGACCCUACCGAAUACACAUCCUAGAAUAUAUUUCACAUCCCUCGCGUCAAGAAAAGAAGGUCUUUACUGCAUUUUACUUUACAAGUUGACAUCACAAAAAUAAGAGCUACUGCCUUCCUUGUUUCUGCAAAAACUGCUAGAGUGUAAGUGCAACCUCCUGAAGUCAGUGUCUGUCUCUGUCUCUGUCUGUCUCUGUGUCUCUGUCUGUCUGUCUCUCUCUCUCUCUCUCUUUCUCUUUCUUCCCCUCUCUUCCCUUUCUCCCUCUCUCCCCCUCUCCCCAUCUCUCUCUCUCUGUCUUUGAAUAAGGUUUCAGACUCUUAAGGGUGAAGAUGGGUUGAGAUUACAUUAAAGUGUCAACAGAGUGACCACAUUUGCCAUGAGUGAUUUGUGGAAAGACAUGGUAUUUCUUUCCAAAACAAUGUAAUGUCAGUUCACCCUUGCUCUAGGAUAGUAUGGCCAAAGGUCUUAUUUAUAGUCUAACAGUAAACCAGGCUAUGUAUAUACGUAAUGAAAAUAGACACCAUCUCUUGCUCUCUUAAGAAUUUAUUCUCUUAGAAACGACAUAAACAUUUGAAUAGAUGGCACCUUUUUAAUGCUCUGAUUUGGAGGGAAAAAUUGGUUUUGAUUGUCCUCAAAACAUUAGAAAUAAUCAUUACUAUUUCCUUUGCUGCCAGUGACUUACAAAUAUAGUAUAUUCACAGGUGCUAGAAGCAAAGGUGAUUACUGAAAGAGCCCCGUACCCGGAGGUAGAAUGGGUGUGGAUGAACCAUACUACAUUUCAGCUGCCUUGUCAUAUAUUUUCAAGAUUCACUCUACUUAUAACCAAAAUGAUAAUGAAUACUCUCAUUUGAGUUUUAUACAAUAGAUAUUAAGAUGUUUUCUGUAUUUCCAAGCCCAAGGUUUUGCUUUAGAUAGAAAUGUGAAAACAAGGCAAUGCAUUGAAAGGUGCUUUGAGUAGUAACAUGACAUUUUAAAAUAUAUUUAAAACAUUAAAUGCAUGUUAAAUAAAAUUUGGAAAGUAUCAAAGAGAUUUAAAAAUCCCUAUGUUUCUUUAUUUCUCCUAUGUAUAUAGAGUUUUUACAUAGAACAGUAGGCUUUUGAUGUAUAUAAUUUUGCAUCCUGUUCUUUUCACUUAACACUACAUGAUAGCAUUAUGAAUCCGCCAAAACAUCAUUUAAAAUGUAGUAUAAUAUCCCACACAGUUGUAGUAUUAUAUCUUGUCAGUUCUAAGGCAUAUUAAUGUACUUAAUUAUCAUUUUGCUUUGGGGGCAUUUAGAUUGUUUUCAAAGUUUUUCAUUACUACAAAUAAUACUGCAACAAAUAUCUUGUACCUGUGGCUUUUAAAGUAUGUUUAAAUUAUUCCAUUGGGGGUGGACUGGAAUUACUGGGUUAAAAUAUAUGAACAUUUAGAACAUUAUUUUUCAGAAAUAUUACAUCAGUUUUCUCUGUCACCAAACUGAUUGCCAGCUUUGGACAUUUUAAUUUUAAAAAUAUUACUGAUCUAAUGAGUGACAUGUUUUUCCACUGUUCUUUUAGCAUACAUUUUUGUUUUCUAGUAAGAUAAAAUGUUUGUAUGUAUAUUUACUGACAAUAUAUUGCCUUAUAUAAAGUCAUUUGCCCUA